CCUACGGGUGGCAGCAGUGAGGAAUAUUGGUCAAUGGGCGAGAGCCUGAACCAGCCAAGUCGCGUGAAGGAUGACUGCCCUACGGGUUGUAAACUUCUUUUAUAAAGGAAUAAUGUGAUGCACGUGUGCCUUUUUGUAUGUACUUUAUGAAUAAGGCUCGGCUAACUCCGUGCCCGCAGCCGCGGUUAUACGGAGGAUCCGAGCGUUAUUCGGAUUUAUUGGGGUUAAAGGGAGCGUAGAUGGGUUGAUAAGUCAGUUGUGAAAGUUUGCGGGUCAACCGUAAAAUUGCAAUUGAUACUGGCAGCCUUGAGUACAGUUGAGGUAUGCGGAAUGCGUGGUGUAGCGGUGAAAUGCUUAGAUAUCACGAAGAACUCCGAUUGCGAAGGCAGCUUACGAGACUGCCACUGACAUUGAUGCUCGAAAGUGUGGGUAUCAAACAGGAUUAGAUACCCCUGUAGUC
rnacentral:rRNA from 1 species